rnacentral:snoRNA from 1 species
CACCAUAGACUCGUGUUAGGUUGAUGCUACAGGGAAGAGGUCUUUUGUUGCUUUAUCAGAAAUGGUAAACCUUCAUCUCCGGAUCUUGCUAUUGUUGCUUAACUUCUCUUCUUAUCUCCUAACAGCUCAGCGCUAGAGAGGCAGAGUUUCAAGGAAUCAGUGAACAUUAUACUUCUCCUCUAAUUUAUUAGGGUAUUGAGUCGUUAAUGUUCGGGUCAUUUAUGAUCUAUGAUUGUUGCCAUUACGUAUAUGGAUGAGACAGAAGUAGCCCCGUUGACGAGUCAGCCUAGUUUUAGAUUAAGUGGAAUGCAUGAUCUUGAAUUCUUUCCUCCAGCGAUCAUUUCUUCGGAAGUGUGUCAAUGGAAGAAAUUGAGUUCGGUCAUCUUUGUUGUCAUUCUACCGCGGUAUAUUCCUGAACACUGUGAAGAUCAUUUUUGGUCAAUUAUCAUUUGGGUAAAACCAUACCGCUGACAUUU